AGAGAAACAACAGAGGAGAGAAUAGAGUUAGGGUUUUUUUUUUUUUUCAAGAUUAAUUAGGGCUAAAAUUGUAAAUUAAAUAAAAAUGGAGACGAUGAGAUUGUACUUUGUGAUGACAAUCUUUGCCCUUGCUUUGGCCUUCAUACUUCCUUCAAUCAACGGUCAGCCUUCACCUGCCCCUGCCCCUGCCCCUUCAAAUGAUGGGGUAGCAAUUGAUCAAGGAAUAGCAUAUUUGCUAAUGGUGUUUGCUUUGGCUAUUACCUACAUGAUUCAUUGAUAUUUCAUUUUAAUUUGUGCAAUUAAUGUGGGGAUUUGGGAUUAGUAUUAGUAAUUGGAUUGCUCAUUUUUUUAUUAUUAUUCUUGAUUCUUUAUUUAAAAGCUACUACAUUCUUUCUGAAGUUGGAUUGCCUUCUUCUGUAGAUUAUUUAUAUUUCGAUUAUUUGCUUGUCAUCUGUAAAGAUUGAAUUGCCAUUCUUCAUCUACAAAUUGUUGUUCUCCAAAA